UACGUAGGGGGCGAGCGUUAUCCGGAAUUACUGGGCGUAAAGCGCACGCAGGCGGUUCGCCAAGUUUGGAGUGACAGUUGUCGGCUCAACCGACAAAGGACUUCAAAAACUGGUGAACUUGAGGACGAGAGAGGAACAUGGAACUCCAGGUGUAGUAGUGAAAUGCGUAGAUAUCUGGAGGAACACCGGUGGCGAAGGCGGCAUCCUGGACCAACACUGACACUGAAAAGCGAAAGCCAGGGGAGCAAACGGG
rnacentral:rRNA from 1 species